GAAAAUGGUAGUCUGGCAAGUUUUGGAGAUGAAGAAACUGUCCCAGCUAUGCAUGCCAAUGAUCAGAAUGCGUCAACAGCUACAGAAAUGCCAGAUCUGCUGGACCAGCAUUCAAACAUGAGUCGUGAUUUGAAUGAUAGAGAAGCUAAUGGGCCUAAUUCAGCUUUACCAUCCGACUUUCCCUAUUUGCCUUUAUCUGGUUUAGAUAACCUUACAGAUUCGACUGCUAUCGGAGGUGAACCAUCGAAGGAUGUGAACAACAUGGUUACAACACUUGAAAAUGAGCUGUCAACUAGUUUUACUGAAACUGUUUGUGACUUGGUGACACUUGAAAAUGCAAAGGUUCCUGCCCAAUCUGUGUCUGACAUGGCUGCUUUUGAAAAUGCACUUUCAUCUCUAGAACCUCUUCUACCGUCAACUAUCACUACUCGAUCAGCCUAUGCUGUUAGUGUUGAUUUUCUUGAAGAUUUAAUUAACGACAGCAAAAAUAACAAGAAAGCUUUGGUGUCUGCUGUGGAAACUGCACGCGCCAUCUUGAAAAAAGUAGAACUUGCUGAGGAGAGAGCAAUAUUG
rnacentral:misc_RNA from 1 species